UACGUAGGGUGCGAGCGUUAAUCGGAAUUACUGGGCGUAAAGCGUGCGCAGGCGGUUUUAUAAGCCAGAUGUGAAAUCCCCGGGCUUAACCUGGGAAUGGCAUUUGGGACUGCAAGGCUGGAGUUUGGCAGAGGAGACUGGAAUUCCUGGUGUAGCAGUGAAAUGCGUAGAUAUCAGGAGGAAUACCGAUGGCGAAGGCAGGUCUCUGGGCUAUAACUGACGCUCAUGCACGAAAGCGUGGGGAGCAAACAGG
rnacentral:rRNA from 1 species